AGUGAACGCUGGCGGUAGGCCUAACACAUGCAAGUCGAACGGCAGCACAGUAAGAGCUUGCUCUUACGGGUGGCGAGUGGCGGACGGGUGAGGGAUACAUCGGAAUCUACUUUUUCGUGGGGGAUAACGUAGGGAAACUUACGCUAAUACCGCAUACGACCUACGGGUGAAAGCAGGGGAUCUUCGUACCUUGCGCGAUUGAAUGAGCCGAUGUCGGAUUAGCUAGUUGGCGGGGUAAAGGCCCACCAAGGCGACGAUCCGUAGCUGGUCUGAGAGGAUGAUCAGCCACACUGGAACUGAGACACGGUCCAGACUCCUACGGGAGGCAGCAGUGGGGAAUAUUGGACAAUGGGCGCAAGCCUGAUCCAGCCAUACCGCGUGGGUGAAGAAGGCCUUCGGGUUGUAAAGCCCUUUUGUUGGGAAAGAAAAGCAGCAGGUUAAUACCCCGCUGUUCUGACGGUACCCAAAGAAUAAGCACCGGCUAACUUCGUG
rnacentral:rRNA from 1 species